rnacentral:rRNA from 1 species
AACAAGGAUUCCCCUAGUAACUGCGAGUGAAGCGGGAAGAGCUCAAAUUUUGAAUCUGGCGGUCCUUGUGGUCGUCCGAGUUGUAAUCUAGAGAAGCGUUUUCCGCGCUGGACCGUGUACAAGUCUCCUGGAACGGAGCRUCAUAGAGGGUGAGAAUCCCGUCUCUGACACGGACUACCAGGGCUUUUGUGAUGCGCUCUCGACGAGUCGAGUUGUUUGGGAAUGCAGCUCAAAUUGGGUGGUAAAUUCCAUCUAAAGCUAAAUACAGGCGAGAGACCGAUAGCGAACAAGUACCGUGAGGGAAAGAUGAAAAGGACUUUGGAAAGAGAGUUAAACAGUACGUGAAAUUGCUGAAAGGGAAACGCUUGAAGUCAGUCGCGUUGGCCGGGGAUCAGCCUUGCAAUCUUGUUGGGUGCAUUUCCUGGUUGACGGGUCAGCAUCAAUUUUGACCGUCGGAGAAGGGUCGAGGGAAUGUGGCAUCCUUCGGGGUGUGUUAUAGCCUUUGAUCGUAUGCGACGGUUGGGAUUGAGGAACUCAGCAUGACCCCUCGUGGGUUUGGGGCUUCGGCUCACAUCCAUGCUUAGGAUGCUGGCAUAAUGGCUUUAAGCGACCCGUCUUGAAACACGGACCAAGGAGUCUAACAUGCCCGCGAGUGUUUGGGUGUUUAAAACCCGAGCGCGUAAUGAAAGUGAAAGUUGAGACCUCUGUCGUGGAGGGCAUCGACGCCCGGACCAGAACUUUUGUGACGGCCCUGCGGUAGAGCGUGUAUGUUGGGACCCGAAAGAUGGUGAACUAUGCCUGAAUAGGGUGAAGCCAGAGGAAACUCUGGUGGAGGCUCGUAGCGAUUCUGACGUGCAAAUCGAUCGUCGAAUUUGGG